rnacentral:lncRNA from 1 species
GUUGAACUUGAGUUCGUGGCGUGUUUGAACUUGAGUUUGUGUUCUUUUUGAACUUGAGGUUGUGGAAAUUGUUAAACUCGCCCUCCUCGAGCCAUCAUGAAGGCGGAGGUGGCGGGGGUAGAGCAGCAAUGAACAAACCCCCCUGGAACAGGAGCGCUUCAAGGACAGUGGAGCAAUUAGCUGGCACGAGGGUGGAGCUGGUGUGGCAGUGUGUUGCUGGUUUGCUGUCAGAGCAGAGGAAGAGGCUGGGUUAGUGCAGUUUUAAAUAAGGCACUCUAUAGGCAAAGAACCAAUAGGAUCUAGGUGUGAAUCAGCUGAUUAUCAUCUGGUUGAGGUGGCUACUAGCCAUUGGCUGUGGAUCAGCGCUUGACGUUGUGUCCUGACAGAACUAACGCUAUGCUUCAUUUCAGUCAGGUACACUUUGUCCAAAUUUUUAGCUUUAUUGUGCAAGUUAGAUUUGGCGGCAUGAUUCUGUUCCGGGUCCCUGCCCUUCCACGCGCUUGUGUGGAAGCCCGAGGCAGGAAGAGCCCCUUCCUGCCUUUCACGAGCCAUCAUGAAAGGCGAUAGCAGGGAGCGCACGCGAGGUUCUGUUCAGGGCCCCCGUUCUCCACGUUGGCAGGGGUGAAAGGCCAGCGGCAGGAAGAGCACCUUCCCGCCCUCCACGUGCCAUCAUGAAGGCGGAGGAGGCAGGGGUAGAGCAGCAAUGAACAGAACCCCCCAAAACAACCAUGCCGUGCAGUCUAGGAGCUAGCAGGGGAGGUGAGCGCUGCUGAAAGAAAGACGGGUUAGAGAGACCCGUUGCCCAAGCAUGGAUAUUUAUCUGCAGGUUGUUUAUAUAUUUCAUUUAAUUAGCAUCUAUGUGCCAAAGUUAUGGGUACUCAUAGUUUUUGGGCUUCGAGAAUGUCCCGAGCCUCGGGGCGCAGAUAGCAUUUGUACGCAGCUGACGACUAUUGGCCCAUGGCUUUGAGGGUCGACACAGGAGCCGUCAUAGCUGCGGUUGUAGCUGCACCUAUGUGAAAGGAAUGAGCCGUGUAGCGAUCUGAAGGAUGUGUGGAGGGCGAUCAGCUAAGCUGUCAUCUGACUGAGGGCUAGCUUAAGAUCAGCUGGCUUUAACCUUUAGCUUGACUGUACCUUGUGUCCUGCCUGAACUACAGCCAUGCUUAAUUUCAGUCAGGACUACUUUAGUUAGAAUCAAUUAUUUAUUACUAGCAAAAAAUUUUUUAACAUUGUCGGUAUGGCUGUGUUCUGAGAGUUCCCUGCUCUCUCAUGUGCUUGCAUAGAAUCCCAAGGCAAUGAGAGGGAAUGCCCUCCCCUCCCUUUCAUGUGCAUAUAUGAAAAGCCAAGGCAGAAAAAGCAGCAGCCAUACUGGCAACCCUCCCCAGCUUUCAUGAGCUACAUGAAGGCACCUACGGGGGAGGGAGGGCAGCCAGCAGCGAGAAACUAUGAAGCAACCUACCCACCUACAAAGCUUGCAUAGUAUUGGUUACCCUCACAACAUGAUCAUGGAUCAGGAUUAAUUUAAUCCAUACACAAAUUUAUAGUUGGGAAUAUGCGUAAUGCAAUAGAUAUGGGAAAGAAUUAAGGAGCAGCAGCAUUUUUUUUUUUUGUAGCUAAUCGAGCAUAGGAAUAUUCUAAUAAUAAUAAUAAUAUAUUAGCCUUGGGCCUGAGGUAUCAUUCAAAGGCUGAUCGGGACCAUUGACCCGUAGCCUUGAGCGUCGAGACGGGGACGAUGGAAGAUGCAGUUGUAGCUGUGCCUAUGCGUGGUGAAUGCGUAGAGUUGUACUCAGGUAGGAGCCAACAGGAUUGGCAGAGCAGGCAGAGGUGAGCAGAAAGCUGCAAUCUGGAUAUAGGUUUCCCUUCUUCAGUGGCAAAGAGAGACUCUUAGUGGCUGGCCAGUGGCCGGCCUCUCAGGCAGCGGGACAUGGAGGAUAAAGAACAAAGACAGAGUUAGUUUUGGAAAUAUUAGAAGAAGAAAAAAAGUGCGAGAUUCAAAACUGUGGACUAUUAAAGCACAUACAAUGGAUAUAUUUAGGGCGUUGGGGCUACAGAGAAGGUGGUACAAAAGAGGUAAAGUGAGACCAUGCAGAAUCGUAUAAACUUUAAUGCUGAUUUUGCUUAACCAGCUCUCAAGUAGCUGUCAACAGAGAGCACUAAGGAUUGCAAGGCUGCACUCAGACUAACACAGUCUGAAUGAAUGGCUUCACGAACAGCCGUUGGGAUGCUUUGCCAGUGCCUUCCCCGGCUCAAGGACAUUUGACAGAGUAGACAGCUUUGUUCUUUCCCGUUUUACCAGGUGGGUGCGUCAUGGGCAUGCUGAUUUCAGAUGCCCGUCCCUGGAGUAACUUGGCUUCUCCGAGUAGUAGGCUUAGAGAGGCUUGGGUGGUUGGCCUGUAGCCACAGUUUUAGGGCACCGAUUAGAGGUGUGGGCAGGGGUGGACAAGGUAGGAUAAGGUUCCUCCAGGUACUGUACCCGUAGACUUUGUACAAGAGGAGCACACCCAAGUUAAGCGAGUUGCUGACUCCGAUGCCACAGUAUCAUCAUCUGCUGUAUCUCUCUCUUAAACAUAAAAUUAUUAUUAUUAUUAUUAUUAUUAUUAUUAUUAUUAUUAUUAUUAUUAUUAUUAUUAUUUUCCUCUGCAUUUUGUCUUAUUUCUGCAUUAAGAUUGAAGCAGCUGACUCUUUAAAAGUUCCCUCCUUCCGCAAAAGGCGGAAGGUGGGCCCCUGCACCUAGGCAACCAGCGUCCAAUCAAAAGUGCGCACUGGUGCUCCCACUUGGAGUUUAUUUGUAAGCAAAUACCACUCACUCUCAAGCGGCAUGGUCCUAUUGGAUUACUUCGGUUAUAACGCAGAGUGCAGACUGAUGUGCAGCAACAGACUAAGCCUAGAUACAUGACAGGGGUGAAAACUUUAAACAGCUGAUUAUGUCUUCCCGAAAUGGCGUACUGCUGCGUAAUGGCUUACUUUCACCUCCAGGUGAGAGAAAGACCCGCAGAUUAAGCAGGAAAAAGCUUGAUGCUCGGUGAAUUGUUAACUGAUUAGAGCCAGGUCGACUACGGACUGAUCAAGUCUUUGGCUGAAUCUUUGAAUGUACUUAGCAGCUUUGCUGAAAAUGAUUUGUAAUGUUCCUAGAAUAAUGAUCCUCCCUAUGUCAUGGCUGAAUCAGAAAUAAUGGCGAGAUAUGUGUCCAGUUCAGUUCUGCGUGCUGAAAACACUUUACAUAUGACAUCUACAAAUACGCCGAAAGCUAUGAAUUCAGCCAAGGUCGGAGAUUUAAACAGCCGGGCAUCACGAUAUUUAAGCAUCACAGGCUCAUCUCCGCAAUCCACAAUGCGUCUAUCAUUGUAGUCUGAGCACAGCAAGACUAAUGUCAGUACCUGCAAGGAUUUGGCUCCGCGGAUUAGGUGUAAUUGCAGCCGCGACCAGGUCGCGUCGCGUCGCGUGGUGCUCUGGUGUGUUCACACUAGGUCCAAAGCUGCGGUCGCAGGACACGGCUGGUCGCUGCUGACCCGCUUCUCCUACCUUCCAUCUCCCUCCUUUUCUCCCUCAUAUAUACAUCCCGUAGCCAGUUCAAAUAUUUGAACUUUGGGAGCGACGAGACUUGGCGUCCUGCGACCUCGGCAACGCAACCUCGGCAACGCGACGCAGGUAGCCAGCAGUCGCCAAGUCGCGUCAGGUCGCGGCUGUCCAUAGACUUGCAUUGGGAGCCAUCGCCGACGUCACCGAAGUCGCGUUUGGUCUGAACACCCCUUAACGCUAAGCUUCAUAUUUGGGUAUUGGUUGACUUGAGUUUCUGUGUUUGUUGAACUUGAGUUUGUGACAUGUUUGAACUUGAAUUUGUGGUGUUUUUGAACUUGAGUUUGUGUGUUUGUUGAACUUGAGUUUGUGGCGUGUUUGAACUUGAGUUUGUGUUGUUUUUGAACUUGAGGUUUUGGCAAAUGUUAAACUUGAGAUUUGGGUGUUGGUUGAACUUGAGUUUGUGUCAUAUUUGAACUUGAUUUUUUUGCAAUUUUUGAACUUGAGUUUGUUGAACUUGAGGUUGUGGAAAUUGUUAAACUUGAGAAUUGGUAUUGAUUGAACUUGAGUUUGUGUGUUUGUUGAACUUCAGUUUGUCUCGUGUUUGAACUUGAGUUUCUGUUGUUUUUGAACUUGAGGUUGUGGCAAUUGUUAAACUUGAGAUUUGGGUGUUGGUUGAACUUGAGUUUGUGUCAUGUUUGAACUUGAGUUUGUGGUGUUUUUGAACUUGAGUAUGUGUGGUUUUUUAACUUAGUUUUGUGGCAAUUGUUAAACUUGAGAUUUGGGUGUUGGUUGAACUUGGGUUUGUGGUGUUUUUGAACUUGAGUUUGUGUCUUUGUUGAACUUGAGUUUGUGGCGUGUUUUAACUUGAGUUUCUGUUGUUUUUGAACUUGAGGUUGUGGCAAUUGUUGAACUUGAGAUUUGGGUGUUCGUUGAACUUGAGUUUGUGUCAUGUUUGAACUUGAGUUUGUGGUGUUUUUGAACUUGAGUUUGUGUGGUUUUUUAACUUAGUUUUGUGGCAAUUGUUAAACUUGAGAUUUGGGUGUUGGUUGAACUUGGGUUUGUGGUGUUUUUGAACUUGAGUUUGUGUCUUUGUUGAACUUGAGUUUGUGGCGUGUUUUAACUUGAGUUUCUGUUGUUUUUGAACUUGAAGUUGUGGAAAUUGUUGAACUUGAGAUUUGGGAUUUGGUUGAACUUGACUUUGUUUCAUGUUUGAACUUCAGUUUGGGGUGUUUUUGAACUUGAACUUGUGUGUUUUUUGAACUUGAGUUUGUGUUGUUAAGAACUUGAGUUUGUGGUGUUUUUGAACUUGAGUUUGUGUGUUUGUUGAACUUGAGGUUGUGGCAAUUGUUAAACUUGAUAUUUGGGUGUUGUUGAACUUCAAACUUUGAAAUUUGUUGAUCUUGAGUUUGUGGUGUUCGUUGAACUUCAGUUUCAGCAUUUUUUAACUUGAGUUUGUGGCAAUUUUUGAACUUGAGUUUGUUGAACUUGAGUUUUUGGCAAUUGUUAAAUGUGAGUUUAGGUCAUUUGUUGAACUUGAGUUUGUGGCAAUUGUUGAACUUGAGUCUGUAUUUUUCACUGAACUUUAGUUUGUAGCGUUUGUUGUACUUGAGUUUGUGGCGUUUGUUGUACUUGAGUUUGUGUCUUGUUUGAACUUGAGUUGGGGGUGUUUUUGAACUUUAGGUUACGGCAAUUGUUGAACUUGAGGAUUGUGUGUUUGUUGAACUUGAGUUUGUCUCGUGUUUGAACUUGAGUUUCUGUUGUUUUUGAACUUGAGGUUGUUGAAAUUGUUCAACUUGAGAUUUGGGUUUUGGUUGAACUUAAAACUUUUACAUUUGUUGAACUUGAGUUUGUGGCGUGUUUGAACUUGAGUUUCUGUUGUUUUUGAACUUGCGGUUUUGGAUAUUGUUUAAUUUGAGAUUUGAGUGUUGGUUGAACUUGACUUUGUCAUGUUUGAACUUGAGUUUGUGGUGUUUUUGAACUAGAUUUUGUGUGUUUUUUGAACUUAAGUUUUCUGUCAAUUGUUGAACUUGAGUUUAUGGUUUUUAGUGAACUUUACUUGGUGGCAGUUGUUGAACUUGAGUUUGUGGGAUUUGUUGAACUUGAGCAUGUGUCGUGUUUGAACUUGAGUUUGAGGGGUUUGUUGAACUUGAGCUUGUGUCGUGUUUGAACUUGAGUUUGUGGUGUUUUUGAACUUGAGUCUGUGUUGCUUUUGAACUUGAGGUUUUGGAAAUUGUUAAACUUGAGAAUUGGGUAUUGGCUGAACUUGAGUUUUUGAACUUGAGUUUGUGUCAUGUUUGAACUUGAGUUUGUUGUGUGUUUGAAUUUGAGUUUGUGUGUUUGUUGAACUUGAGGUUGUGGCAAUUGUUAAACUUGAGAUUUGGGUGUUGGUUGAACUUGAGUUUGUGUCGUUUCAGAACUUGAGUUUGUGUCGUUUCAGAACUUGCAUUCCUGUUAUUUGUUUAACUUGAAUUUGUGUGUUUUUUGAACUUGAGGUUCUGAAAAUUUUUAAACGUGAGAAUCAUGUGUUGGUUGAACUUGAGUUUGUGGUUUUUGUUGAACUUGAGGUUGUGUCGUGUUUGAACUUGAGUUUGUGGUUUUUUUGAACUUGAGUCUGUGUUGUUUUUGAACUUGAAGUUGUGGAAAUUGUUAAACUUGAGAAUUGGGUAUUGGUUGAACUUGAGUUUAUGGUUUUUUUUUACUUGAGUUUGUGUCGUGUUUUUAACUUGAGUUUGUGGUGUGUUUGAAUUUGAGUUUGUGUGUUUGUUGAACUUGAGGUUGUGGCAAUUGUUAAACUUGAGAUUUGGGUGUUGGUUAAACUUGAGAUUUGGGUGUUGGUUGAACUUGAGUUCGUGUUAUUUUUUUAACUUGAGUAUGUGUUUUUAUACUUGAGUUUGUGUCGUUUUUGAACUUGAGGUUGAGGUUUUUUUGAACUGUUUCUGUUGUUUUUGAACUUGAGGUUUUGGAAAUUGUUAAACUUGAGAAUCAGGUGUUGGUUGAACUUCAGUUAGUGUGUUUGUUGAACUUGAGUUUGUGUCGUGUUUGAACUUGAGUUCGUGUCGUGUUUGAACUUGAGUUUGUGGUGUUGUUGAACUUGGGUUUGUGGUGUUUUUGAACUUUAGGUUGUAGAAUUUGUUAAACUUGAGAUUUGGGUGUUGGUUGAACUUGAGUUUGUGUCGUGUUUGAACUUGCAUUUGUGUUGUUUGUUUAACAGUUUGUGUGUUUUUUGAACUUGAGGCUGUGAAAAUUUUCAAACUUGAAUAUCAGGUGUUGGUUGAACUUGAGUUUUUUGUUUUGUUGAACUUUAGUUUGUGUCUUGUUUUAACUUAUGUUUGUGGUUUUUUUUAACUUGAGGUUGUGAAAAUUGUUAAAUUUAAGAAUUGGGUAUUUGUUGAACUUGAGUUUUUGGUGUUUUUUAAAUUUAGUUUGUUUCGUGUUUGAACUUGAGUUUGUGGCAAUUUUUAAACUUAAUAUUGGAUAUUUAACCCUAACGCCAAAAACCUUAAACCUUACCAUAGCCCCAUAACCUAAUACCCAGGUAUUACCUUCAGGAAGCCCGAACACCCCAAAUAUUUUUUUUCAUUUUUAUUUUUUUUUAUCUAAAUAACUCCAAAAGGUCUGAAACAUGUUCCUAAAAAGGUUUUGGACACUGAUUUUAACCCUUACGCCAAAAAACUUAAACCUUACCCUAGCCCCAUAACCUAAUAACCUAAUAAUACCUUCAGGAAGCCCAAACACCCCAAAUAUAUAUAUAUAUUUUUUUUUCUCUUUUUUUGUCUAACUAACUCCAAAAGGUUGGAAAAGAGUUCCUAAAAAGGUUUUGGACACUGAUUUUAACCCUUACGCCAAAAAACUUAAACCUUACCCUAGCCCCAUAACCUAAUAACCUAAUAAUACCUUCAGGAAGCCCGAACACCCCAAAUAUUUUUUUUCAUUUUUCAUUUUUUUUUGUCUAACUAACACCAAAAGGUUGGAAAAGAGUUCCUACAUAGGUUUUGGACAGUGAUUUUAACCCUAACGCCAAAAACCUUAAACCUUACCCUAGCCCCAUAACCUAAUACCCAGGUAUUACCUUCAGGAAGCCCGAAAACCCCAAAUAUAUUUUUUUCAUUUUUUUUUUUUUUGGUCUAACUAACUCCAAAAGGUUGGAAAAGAGUUCCUACAAAGGUUUUGGACAGUGAUUUUAACCCUAAUGCCAAAAAACCUUAAACCUUACCAUAGCCCCAUAACCUAAUACCCGGGUAUUACCUUCAGGAAGCCCGAACACCCCAAACAUUUUUUUUUCAGUUUUCAUUUUCUUUUUGUCUAACUAACUCCAAAAGGUUGGAAAAGAGUUCCUACAAAGUUUUUGGACAGUGAUUUUAACCCUAACGCCAAAAACCUUAAACCUUACCAUAGCCCCAUAACCUAAUACCCAGGUAUUACCUUCAGGAAGCCCGAAAACCCCAAAUAUAUUUUUUUCAUUUUUCAUUUUUUUUGGUCUAACUAACUCCAAAAGGUUGGAAAAGAGUUCCUACAAAGGUUUUGGACAGUGAUUUUAACCCUAAUGCCAAAAUACCUUAAACCUUACCAUAGCCCCAUGACCUAAUACCCGGGUAUUACCUUCAGGAAGCCCGAACACCCCAAAUAUUUUUUUUUUCAUUGUACAAUUUUUUUUAGUGUAACCAACUCCAAAAGGUCUGAAACAUGUUCCUAAAAAGGUUUCGGACAGUGAUUUUAACCCUCACGCCAAAAACCUUAAACCUUACCCAAGCCCCAUAACCUUAUACCCGGGUAUUACCUUCAGGAAGCCCGAACACCCCAAAUAUUUUUUUUUCAUUGUACAAUUUUUUUUAGUGUAACCAACUCCAAAAGGUCUGAAACAUGUUCCUAAAAAGGUUUCGGACAGUGAUUUUAACCCUCACGCCAAAAACCUUAAACCUUACCCAAGCCCCAUAACCUAAUACCCGGGUAUUAACUUCAGGAAGCCUGAACACCCCAAAUAUUUUUUUUUCAUCUUUCAUUUUUUUUUGGUGAAACCAACUCCAAAAGGUCUGAAACAUGUUCCUAACAAGGUUUUGGACAGUGAUUUUAACCCCAACGCCAAAAAACUUAAACCUUACCCUAGCCCCAUACCCUAAUACCCGGGUAUUACCUUCAGGAAGCCCGUAAACCCUAAAUAUUUUUUUUUCAUUUUUCAUUUUUUUUGGUCUAACUAACUCCAAAAGUUUGGAAAAGAGUUCCUACAAAGGUUUUGGACACUGAUUUUAACCCUUAUGCCAAAAACCUUAAACCUUACCCUAGCCCCAUGACCUAAUACCCGGAUAUUACCUUCAGGAAGCCCGAAAACCCCAAACAGUUUUUUUUCAGUUUUCAUUUUCUUUUUGUCUAACUAACUCCAAAAGGUUGGAAAAGAGUUCCUACAAAGGUUUUGGACAGUGAUUUUAACCCUAACGCCAAAAACCUUAAAUCUUACCAUAGCCCCAUAACCUUAUACCCGGGUAUUACCUUCAGGAAGCCCGAACACCCCAAAUAUUUUUUUUUCAUUGUACAAUUUUUUUUAGUGUAACCAACUCCAAAAGGUCUGAAACAUGUUCCUAAAAAGGUUUCGGACAGUGAUUUUAACCCUCACGCCAAAAACCUUAAACCUUACCCAAGCCCCAUACCCUAAUACCCGAGUAUUACCUUCAGGAAGCCUAAACACCCCAAAUAUAUUUGUUUUAUUUUUCUUUUUUUUUGGUCUGACUAACUCCAAAAGGUUGGAAAAGAGUUCCAACAAAGGUUUUGGACACUGAUUUUAACCCUAACGCCAAUAACCUUAAACCUUACCAUAGCCCCAUAACCUAAUACCCAGGUAUUACCUUCAGGAAGCCCGAAAACCCCUAAUAUAUUUUUUUCAUUUUUCAUUUUUUUUGGUCUAACUAACUCCAAAAGGUUGGAAAAGAGUUCCUACAAAGGUUUUGGACAGUGAUUUUAACCCUAAUGCCAAAAACCUUAAACCUUACCAUAGCCCCAUGACCUAAUACCCGGAUAUUACCUUCAGGAAGCCCGAAAACCCCAAACAUUUUUUUUUCAGUUUUCAUUUUCUUUUUGUCUAACUAACUCCAAAAGGUUGGAAAAGAGUUCCUACAAAGGUUUUGGACAGUGAUUUUAACCCUAACGCCAAAAACCUUAAACCUUACCAUAGCCCCAUAACCUUAUACCCGGGUAUUACCUUCAGGAAGCCCAAACACCCCAAAUAUAUUUUUUUUCAUUUUACAUUUUUUUUGGUGUAACCAUCUCCAAAAGGUCUGAAACAUGUUCCCUAAAAAGGUUUUGGACAGUGAUUUUAACCCUUACGCCAAAAACCUUAAACCUUACCCUAGCCCCAUAACCUAAUGUUCGGGUAUUACCUUCAGGAAGCCCGAACACCCCAAAUAUUUUUUUUUCAUUUAUCUUUUUUUUUUUGUCUAACUAACUCCAAAAGGUCAGAAAAGAGUUCCUACAAAGGUUUUGGACAGUGAUUUUAACCCUAUCGCCAAAAACCUUAAACCUUACCCUAGCCCCAAAACCUAAUACCGGGUAUUACCUUCAGGAAGCCCGAACACCCCAAAUAUUUUUUUUUAAUUUUUUGUGGUCUAACUAACUCCAAAAGGUUGGAAAAGAGUUCCUACAAAGGUUUUGGACAGUCAUUUUAACCCUCGCGCCAAAAACCUUAAACCUUACCUUAGCCCCUAACCUAAUACCCGGGUAUUACCUUCAGGAAGCCCGAACACCCCAAAUAUAUUUUUUUUCAUUUUUCGUUUUUUUUUUUGGUCUAACUAACUCCAAAAGGAUGGUAAAGAGUUCCUACAAAGGUUUUGGACAGUGAUUUUAACCCUCACGCCAAAAACCUUAAACCUUACCUUAGCCCCUAACCUAAUACCCGGGUAUUACCUUCAGGAAGCCCGAACACCCCAAAUAUAUUUUUUUCAUUUAUCUUUUUUUUGGACUAACUAACUCCAAAAGGUCUGAAACAUGUUCCUAAAAAGGUUUUGGACAGUGAUUUUAACCCAUACGCCAAAAGCCUUAAACCUUACCCUAGCCCCAUAACCUAAUACCCGGGUAUUACCUUCAGGAAGCCCGAACACCCCAAAUAUUUUUUUUUCAUUUAUCUUUUUUUUUUUGUCUAACUAACUCCAAAAGGUUGGAAAAGACUUCCUACAAAGGUUUUGGACAGUGAUUUUAACCAUAUCGCCAAAAACCUUAAAAGUUACCCUAGCCCCAAAACCUAAUACCGGGUAUUACCUUCAGGAAGCCCGAACACCCCAAAUAUUUUUUUUUUAUUUUUUGUGGUCUAACUAACUCCAAAAGGUUGGAAAAGAGUUCCUACAAAGGUUUUGGACAGUGAUUUUAACCCUCGCGCCAAAAACCUUAAACCUUACCUUAGCCCCUAACCUAAUACCCGGGUAUUACCUUCAGGAAGCCCGAACACCCCAAAUAUAUUUUUUUCAUUUUUCGUUUUUUUUUUUGGUCUAACUAACUCCAAAAGGAUGGUAAAGAGUUCCUACAAAGGUUUUGGACAGUGAUUUUAACCCUAUCGCCAAAAACCUUACAAGUUACCCUAGCCCCAAAACCUAAUACCGGGUAUUACCUUCAGGAAGCCCGAACACCCCAAAUAUUUUUUUUUUAUUUUUUUUGGUCUAACUAACUCCAAAAGGUUGGAAAAGAGUUCCUACAAAGGUUUUGGACAGUGAUUUUAACCCUCGCGCCAAAAACCUUAAACCUUACCUUAGCCCCUAACCUAAUACCCGGGUAUUACCUUCAGGAAGCCCGAACACCCCAAAUAUAUUUUUUUCAUUUUUCGUUUUUUUUUUUGGUCUAACUAACUCCAAAAGGAUGGUAAAGAGUUCCUACAAAGGUUUUGGACAGUGAUUUUAACCCUCACGCCAAAAACCUUAAACCUUACCUUAGCCCCUAACCUAAUACCCGGGUAUUACCUUCAGGAAGCCCGAACACCCCAAAUAUAUUUUUUUCAUUUAUCUUUUUUUUUGGACUAACUAACUCCAAAAGGUCUGAAACAUGUUCCUAAAAAGGUUUUGGACAGUGAUUUUAACCCAUACGCCAAAAGCCUUAAACCUUACCCUAGCCCCAUAACCUAAUACCCGGGUAUUACCUUCAGGAAGCCCGAACACCCCAAAUAUUUUUUUUUCAUUUAUCUUUUUUUUUUUGUCUAACUAACUCCAAAAGGUUGGAAAAGACUUCCUACAAAGGUUUUGGACAGUGAUUUUAACCAUAUCGCCAAAAACCUUAAAAGUUACCCUAGCCCCAAAACCUAAUACCGGGUAUUACCUUCAGGAAGCCCGAACACCCCAAUUUUUUUUUUUCUUUUUUCUUUUUUUUCUGGUCUAGCUCCCUCCAAAAGGUUGGAAAAGAGUUCCUACAAAGGUUUUGGACAGUGAUUUUAACCCUAACGUCAAAAACCUUUAACCUUUUCCUAGCCCUGUAACAUAAUAUAUACAUAAAAUUGCUCAACAAACACAUAGUCUAAAAGAUAGACAGCAUAGCAUACCAACUGAGCUGAGUCAUUAAACUUUCUACCAACACAUAAUUUUUACACACAGAUUGAGCUCGGAGACUCGACUGGAACAUGUGACAGGUCGACAUGCGCCGGCCAGUGCAAGUCCUUGAUCAGCCUACCUCAAACCGCCAAGUCAACUGACGAAAGCGGGGGCUAUCACUCUAUCUCUUUCCCACACCUAACCAGCCACUUACCUUCGGACAGACUUGUCACAAUAUCAUUCCGAGAAUAGUCUGAGCCCAUGCUCCUUCUGUGCACACAAACCCCCCCCCCCCCCCUUUAUAGAGUCUAAGAUCUUCCAGUUUCAAGGGUGAGAGUGAAUUCCAAAGAAUCCUCCACCUUGGAACCUAUACUAACACUACAUUCCUCAGAAAACUAAACAAAAAACAUCUAAACCCUAACAGCAAUGACGAAAAGAUAAAUACUUUUCAAGACAAAUUAACUCCUGACCCCACCCUGCCUCCCUCCUUUUCUCCCUCUCUCCUGAUCUGUACCUCUCUCUCCUAUCAGAGGAUGAAAACCAGCAGGUGAGGAGAGUCUCAAUGGCGAGUCACGGUGGCAAGAUCUAUUCUCUUUCUAUCACUCGAAUCCCUGCAUGAGCAGAAUGGUGCCAGAUGGACCACCUGCUCCCACCACAAUCCUCUGUGACUUUUUGACUCUAUCCACUUUUAGAACUUAAAAUAGUAAUCAAUAAUCAACUGACCAACUCAGCUCAAACCAAACCCAAAACUCUGCCUAGAGAACUCUCACUUCCACGUUUACAUAUCUCUUUGUAUCUUGUGAGGACCGUGAGGAGAGCAGAGCCUAGACCUAGUCGGGUCGGGUGACUAUGUCCCUUGCUCACUCUCCUCACAUGGAUGGUGAGAGCUGGGGAGCUAUGGGAUGUUUCAUCCGCCACCAAAUCCCCCUCACCAAUCUUUAUUUUCCACCAUCUCCACCUCUCCCUUAAACCCCCCUCUCCCUCUUCCCUCUCUCUCUCUCUCUCUCUCUCUCCCCCCCCCCCCCUCUCUGUCUCUCUCUCUCUCCCUCAUCUCUCUCCCUCAUCUCUCCCCCUCUCUCUAACACCCCCCUCUUUCUUAUUCCCUCCCCUGCCCCUUUAUUUUCACCUUCACAGAUGACAAAUAGGUGAUCUUCAGCCUCGGCCUACCCCGGCCGGGGGUAACCCCUGUUGGGUCACCUAUAUUGAAGAUUAAGAGAGACCUGAAGGGGAACCGCCGUGCCACCUAAAUCCUCCCCCUCUAACAUCUUUUUUAACACUCUAAAAUUAGCCGCUAACCCCACUACAAACAACUUCAUCAAAAAUUUAAAUAAUAAAUACUUAUUGAUAACUGACCAUCAGUGACACCAGACUAAGCUAGUAAAAAAGAACACACAUACACGUGCAAAUUUUCCCUUAGGACAUUGAUCAAAUUUACAUUUCUGUCUGUCUUUUAGGGAACUGUUCUCUGUUUUUAAGCUCACUUCCGUUUUUUGCUAUUUGCUCUUGACACUUCUUUUUUUCCUUUUUUCUUCUCCUUUCCCUUUUGCAAUCCACUUUUGUUCUUCUUUUAUUUUUUAUUUUUUCAUUGUUUUAUAUUAUUUCAUUUUAUUUUAUUUUAUUUCAUUUUAGGGUUCCUGUGCUUUUGUUUGUCUUCCCCCUCCCCUCUUUUUUCUUAGGAAGGACUGACUCCUGAGGUUCUCAUGCCAGGAAAAAUGUACCUCCCUCACUCACGGUUUUACCCACAAUCCUUUGCUGCAACAGGGAGAUUGAUUCCCAAGGCUCUCAUGGCAGAAAGGAAGUACCUCACUCACUCACGGUUUUACCCACAAUCCUUUGCUGUAACAGGAAGAUUGAUUCCUUAGGCUCUCAUCCCUCAGAACUAAAAUACCCACAAUCCCUUACGAUUGCAUACAAAUUUAAUGUAGCAAAACUAAAUUUAAAAUAAAUAAACUACAUUAAAAUUAACUUAAAACAACUUGAAAGUUUAAAAUACAACCAAGAGACAUCCAUUCUGGAAUACAAACAUCGAGAAGAGAACACAACCAUGUCUGAGAGGAACAGCACGAACCAUGACUCGAGCCCAACUCUGGGGAUGUCUUCUCCUGUCAAAAGCACAUUUAAGUGCUGUGCACUAAAGAGCAAUUCCUGUUCCUGUAAUUGAGACAAAGCACUGACCACUGGACCAAGAAGACCGACCACCGCCUCGAGGAAGACGCCGCGCCGCCACCUGAAAGAAGACGCCGCACCUCCAUCACUCCAAGCCG